rnacentral:rRNA from 1 species
UGGGGAAUCUUCCGCAAUGGACGAAAGUCUGACGGAGCAACGCCGCGUGAGUGAAGAAGGUUUUCGGAUCGUAAAACUCUGUCUUUUGGGGCGAACGUGAGUAUGGUGAACAAUCAUAGUCAGUGACGGUACCAAAGGAGGAAGCCACGGCUAACUACGUGCCAGCAGCCGCGGUAAUACGUAGGUGGCAAGCGUUGUCCGGAAUUAUUGGGCGUAAAGAGCGCGUAGGCGGGAUAGUCAGUCUGUUGUAAAGUGCGGGGCUCAACCCCGUGAUCGCAAUGGAAACAGCUAUUCUUGAGUGCAGGAGAGGAAAGUGGAAUUCCCAGUGUAGCGGUGAAAUGCGUAGAUAUUGGGAGGAACACCAGUGGCGAAGGCGACUUUCUGGACUGUGUCUGACGCUGAGGCGCGAAAGCCAGGGGAGGCGAACGGGAUUAGAUACCCCGGUAGUCCUGGCCGUAAACGAUGGGUACUAGGUGUGGGAGGUAUCGACCCCUUCCGUGCCGGAGUUAACGCAAUAAGUACCCCGCCU